CAACUCCUUACUUCGGACUUUACAGAACGACACCUUUUGAAAUAUUUUGCUGUGCUUUCAGUGUGUACUGUGAUUACCUUUUUGGAAAAUUUGACCAUGAUACGCUUUAAAUGGAAUCAACCGAUUUGUGAUAACUCAGGAAGCAUAAUGAACUAUGUAAUGGAUGCUAUUUGCUCCUACUUCUAUAAUGAUAAAUACUAAGGAACUCUGUACCUGUGUGCACUCCAAAUGUAAACUUAUCACAACACUAUAACUUAGAAAUGCUUUAAUUAGCACAGAUAGCAAGUGCCAAAACCUAGAUUGGAGCUCAUUUGUGUGACUAAGCAAGUGGCAGUCUUCAACACUUAAUUGUAUUGACUGGUUGAAUUAUACCUCUAAUUUUUCUACUCUACCUAGGAAAAUGAUAUCUUAAAAUAUUAAAAGAUUAUAAUUUUGUUACUGUUGAGGAGGAGGAGCU
rnacentral:lncRNA from 1 species